CUUUGAGUGGAGUGUCCAGAAAAGCGCUAUAUAAGUUUCUGCAGCGACGAAAUGGAAUGGAUUGAAGCUUGACUUAACAGAAGUUGAAAGUGAAGCUUAUUUCUUGUUGGAAUAAACCAUCAGAAAGAAUAACAUACCCAGUUUUUUCCAGAGGGUUGAGGCAUGAACGCUGACAUUAGAUGCAUCAAGAGAGGCGGGAAGAUCCUUAAAUUGUUUGGUCUGUGACGUCCUGGAUGAUUUUUCAGGUGACUCUUCAGAGAUAUUGUCAGUAUGACCGGUCCCGAUUAGAGUCACUGCUGUGGUUUUGAAUACUUUCCAGUUUUAAAAUGUCUGACAGUUAGUUGAUGGAACUCCAAAUGUUUAGAUAUGGUUUUCCGAUCCUCUCCAGACUGAUGAUCAUUAACUGCUAUUUUUCUUAGGUAUUCUGAAAUCCCUUUUGAUAUGGCAGGAAGUGUUUCUACUAAUCUGUAUAGUGAGGACCAAACUCAGAUUCAAUCCUUGUGUACCUAUUAUUGUUAUUGUUUAUUUGGUAAAUAUAACCCAUUUUGGUUGUUUAAGAAAAGACUAAUUUUGAUCAAACAAGGGUAUCAUGGUAAGAAAUUAUAAUUCCCCUAAUUAUAUUGGGGGUGUACAAAUUCUUUCUUGGCACUGGUAUUGACAAAACAACAUUUUGGCUCUGUGUUUUACUACAUGUAAAAUGUGUAAAAGCAGCUAUCACAGGGACUAAAAGAAGCUGAAAAUUGUUGUUGAAUCAUUACAUCUGAAUUCUCACUGGGUUACUGUAAAAUGGAUUAAGAAACAUUUAUCUA